UACGGGGGGAGCAAGCGUUGUUCGGAUUUACUGGGCGUAAAGGGCGCGUAGGCGGUCAGCACAAGUCAGUUGUGAAAUCUCCGGGCUUAACUCGGAAAGGUCAACUGAUACUGUGCGACUAGAGUGCGGAAGGGGCAACUGGAAUUCUCGGUGUAGCGGUGAAAUGCGUAGAUAUCGAGAGGAACACCUGCGGCGAAGGCGGGUUGCUGGGCCGGUACUGACGCUGAGGCGCGACAGCGUGGGGGAGCAAACAGG
rnacentral:rRNA from 1 species